UUUCCGUAGGUGAACCUGCGGAAGGAUCAUUAAAAAAUUGGACUCCAUUGGUGAGUUCAUUAAUAAUCCCUACCCUUUGUGAAUUUGUUUGUUUGAAUAAUUUUUUUUCCAAAAAAAAAUUAUUGAAUGUCUUUCCCUGUUUUGGUGGAGCUUGUAAAGUGAAACCAGGCAGGGGAAUGGCAAACAAUAAUUAUUUUUGAAAAAAGACCUUUUUUAAAAUUAAACUUUUUGUAUUCAUUUGUCUAAAAUUAUUUUUAUAAUAUAAAAACAACUUUUGACAAUGGAUCUCUUGGUUCUCGCAACGAUGAAGAACGCAGCAAAAUGCGAUAAGUAGUGUGAAUUGCAGAAUACGUGAAUCAUCGAAUCUUCGAACGCAUAUUGCACUUUUUUAGUUUACUAAAAAAGUAUGUCUGUUUGAGUAUCAGUAAAAUAUUCUCAUAAAAAACAUUGUUUUUUUAUGGUUAUGAGUGUUUUACAACGAUAACAAGUUGUUUCACUUUAAAUUCUUUGUUAUCAAAAAAAUCAUUAAAAGCUAAUUUUAAAGAUUUUUUAAAAUUGGAUAAAAUUUUCCCGUAAAAAGGAAUAACCUAAACAAUUUUAAAAAAUUAAAAUCGGUUUGAUUUUUUUUGAAACCCAAAGGAAAAAAAAACGAAAUUAACUUGAUCUCAAAUCAGAUAAGAGUACCCGCUGAACUUAAGCAUAUCAAUAAGCGGAGGAAAAGAAACUAACUAGGAUUCCCUCAGUAACGGCGAGUGAAGCGGGAAGAGCUCAAAUUUGAAAUCUUCAAGGUUUUACCUUGACGAAUUGUAGUUUAAAGAAGUGUUUUCUGUUGGAGUUUUGGUAAAAGUUCUUUGGAAAAGGACAUCAUAGAGGGUGAGAAUCCCGUAUUUGACCAUUAUCUCCAGCUUUGUGAUACACUUUCAAAGAGUCGGAUUGUUUGGGAAUGCAGUCCAAAAUGGGUGGUAAAUUUCAUUUAAAGCUAAAUACUGGCGAGAGACCGAUAGCGAACAAGUACCGUGAGGGAAAGAUGAAAAGAACUUGAAAAGAGAGUUAAACAGUACGUGAAAUUGUCAAAAGGGAAGCGUUUGACACCAGUGUUGUUUUCUCGAAAAUCAAUUAAAAAAGGCCGGAUUUUGUGUUGUAUUGACUUUAUCAGCUUUCUGCACUUUUUUCUUGUCUUUUUUAAUGCACUUUUCGUUUAACAAGUCAACAUCAAUUUCUUUUGUUGUAAAAGGGUCAUUGGAAGGUGGCUUUCUUUUCGGAGAAAGUGUUUAUAGCCUUUGGCCUCUGCAAUCGGAGAGAUUGAGGUCUGCAGCGUAGAUCCUUCGGGGUUAGAUACAUUUGUGCUAAGUUAUAGCCUUUCAUAGACAACUUGUUGACUAUGAUCAGUCAUGUAGCUUACUCGCUUAUGCUAUUU
rnacentral:misc_RNA from 1 species